AGAGCGUAGGGUGAAUGCCUUGGCAUCAAGAGCCGAAGAAGGACGUGGUAAGCUGCGAAAAGCUGCGGGGAGUUGCAAACGAACUAUGAUCCGCAGAUAUCCGAAUGGGGAAACCCGGCGGUGGUAAUGCGCCGUCAACCAUAAUUGAAUACAUAGGUUAUGGUAGGGAACCCGGUGAACUGAAACAUCUAAGUAGCCGGAGGAAAGGAAAGAAACAUCGAUAUUCUGAGUAGCGGCGAGCGAAAGGGAUAGAGCCCAAACCGAAAGUCUUCGGACAUUCGGGGUUGAGGGCCAACGCAAGUGAUCUGAAGAAUCUAGCAGAAGACCGUUGGAAAGCGGCGCCAGAGACGGUAAAAGCCCGGUAAGCGAAAGAGGGAGCAGCACAGUUGGUACCAGAGUACCACCGGACACGAGUAACCCGGUGGGAAGCAGGGGGGCCCACCCCCCAAGGCUAAAUACUACUUGAUGACCGAUAGAGGAACAGUACCGUGAGGGAAAGGUGAAAAGGACCCCGGGAGGGGAGUGAAAGAGAACCUGAAACCCUAUGCUUACAAGCAGAUGGAGCACUAUUAGAGAGUGUGACAUUGUACUUUUUGUAGAACGGGCCAGCGAGUUACGUUAUAUAGCGAGGUUAAGGUGUUCAGCACCGGAGCCGCAGGGAAACCGAGUCUUAACCGGGCGCUAAGUUAUAUAAUGUAGACCCGAAACCGGGCGACCUACGCAUGAGCAGGUUGAAGUUGCGGUAAGACGCAAUGGAGGACCGAACCACACGCACGUUGAAAAGUGCGGGGAUGACUUGUGCGUAGCGGAGAAAUUCCAAUCGAGCUCGGAGAUAGCUGGUUCUCCUCGAAAUAGCUUUAGGGCUAGCCUCAUUAGAAGAUAUACGGAGGUAGAGCACUGAAUGGACUAGGGGGCCUCAAAGCCUACCGAAUCUUAUCAAACUCCGAAUGCCGUAUAUACAUAAAUGGGAGUCAGACAGUGGGAGAUAAGUUUCAUUGUCAAAAGGGAAACAGCCCAGAUCAUCAGCUAAGGCCCCAAAGUGUAGGUUAAGUGGAAAAGGAUGUGAGACUGCAUAGACAACUAGGAUGUUGGCUUAGAAGCAGCCACUCAUUUAAAGAGUGCGUAAUAGCUCACUAGUCGAGUGGUCUUGCGCCGAAAAUGUCCGGGGCUAAAACCUACCGCCGAAGCUAUGGGAUGAGAAAUCAUCGGUAGAGGAGCAUCGUAUACGGAUAGAAGCCAUACUGAGAAGAGUGGUGGACUGUAUAGGAGAGAGAAUGCUGGCAUAAGUAGCGAGACUGAGGUGAGAAUCCUCAGCAUCGAAAACCUAAGGUUUCCUGGGGAAGGCUCGUCCGCCCAGGGUAAGUCGGGACCUAAGCCGAGGACUAGAUGGUCGUAGGCGAUGGACAACAGGUAGAGAUUCCUGUACCACCUUUAGUGCAUGAAGGAUGCAGUGACACAGGAGGAUAGAUCGAGCAGGCUGAUGGUAGAGCCUGUGCAAGCGUCAAGGGAGUUAGAGUAGUGAAGUACGCUUUAACAAUUCAGAGGCGUGAUGCGGACAGAAAACAAGUAUGGAAGCGAUCGAAUCCACACUGGCGAGAAAAGCUGCUACUAAGCGAAGAGGUGCCCGUACCGCAAACCGACACAGGUAGGUGAGGAGAGAAUCCUAAGAUGAGCGGGAUAACCCUUGUUAAGGAACUCGGCAAAAUGACUCCGUAACUUAGGGAAAAGGAGUGCCUCGAAAGAGGUCGCAGAGAAUAGGCCCAAGCGACUGUUUACCAAAAACAUAGGUCUGUGCAAAAUCGAGAGAUGAAGUAUACGGGCUGACGCCUGCCCAGUGCCGGAAGGUUAAGGGGAACUGUUAGCGCAAGCGAAGCAGGGAACUUAAGCCCCGGUGAACGGCGGCCGUAACUAUAACGGUCCUAAGGUAGCGAAAUUCCUUGUCAGGUAAGUUCUGACCCGCACGAAUGGCGUAACGAUUUGGGCGCUGUCUCAACAGCCCACCCGGCGAAAUUGUAGUACUGGUGAAGAUGCCAGUUACCCGCAACUAGACGGAAAGACCCCAUGGAGCUUUACUGUAGCUUAAUACUGAGGAUUGGUAAAUCAUGUACAGGAUAGGUGGGAGACUUGGAAGUUUGGGCGUCAGCUCAGAUGGAGUCACCCUUGGGAUACCA
rnacentral:rRNA from 1 species